GAACGCCCUAAGAGGUUGUGCUGCUGGGGUGGUUGGAAGCGGUCGGUGGGCGGGCGUAUGGCGGCCAAGCCUGGGACACCACGAGGCCGGCUGGCGCCGUGGAGUCACUCUUCCUGACUCUAAAACUCACAAAGGCUGGAAGGGAUGGUCGGGGGCGCUCAGGGGCCAGCCCUUGGUCUCACCGAUGGCGGUGGGCAAACGCCCAAUACGGAGGACCGCCGCUGGGGCGAGGAGGAUGAUUUUCAGGGCGUAGGAGGAGAGGGCUCACUGCCCCGAUGCAGAGCAGCAGCCCCAGAUGGAUAAGGAGUUGAGGCCCCAGGGAUGCUGAGCUCUACCGAGUGGAAGUGACUGGGCCACCAGAAUCUGAAAACCCAAAAUCGCUUGAGUGCAUGGAGUUCAGAGCUGAAGCUGUGCACGGAUCCGCGGUGGGACCCGAGAGACCCCACGAGUGGCCAGACGUCUGAGGAGCUGACUGCCCCUCAGGCAGCCGGGCAGCCAGGCCGCCGGGACCAGAGGGACCCGGUCAGGAAGAGAGGCCCCCAGACGACCUGCUCUGAAAGCAGCCCCCAGCCUGAGGAGCACGCCCCAAACACCAAGGAGACCUUUGCCUUGGUGAACUGAGGCUGCUAAGGUGUCACCAGAGGAGAAACAGAACACAUCGUCGCGUUCACGUGCAGGAGGAAUCUCAACUCUGGGAGCCCGUUUCGCUCGGGCAGUUUCUCACGCCUGCAAGCCAGCGGCAGGGCACACGGGACGUCCUGCGAGUCCUCGGCCGCCUCCAGACUCGGGACGCGCCCCGCUGCCCCGGCGCCCCCGCUGACAAGCCGGCGGCCGCCGCGCACAGCAAAGCGCGGGGUGCCGUGCGCCCUCCCCAGGAGGGGACCCGGCAGGAUGACUGUUUACAGUGCACGCCUUCGGGCUGCACCCUUCCUCAGGAGUCUGAGAACCCGACUGCCGUUUAAUGCCUCGAAACACGUCACCUGCUCCCACGGUCUCUCAUCAGAAUAGUUCAGACUGGUGCAAAAACGAGACGCGCGCCCCAGAAAAAGCUCAGUUUCCAGAUCGGUAGAGGUUUUGGGGAUUCGUGCCGCUUCUCGGCCUUUCUCCCAGGACCGGCGAGAAGGGCACGCUUCCCCCACCCCAGGUAUGUUCCCGGGUCGCGGAGGGUUUGUGCUCGGACACCGGGGCAGUUCCCAACUACUCCCUCCAAGUUACGCAUUCCACACUUAGCGCCACCGGAGCCGAAAAUGGCCGGUGCCCGCCACCUCCCCGCCACUGCCCGGGGCUGCGGAAGCCACCGGCCCGGCCCCCUCUCGACUUGGCGCCCAAAGACUUGCGUCGGGUCCAACACCUUUCCCCAGCUCUGCAGGUGCCGCGCUCUUUGGGGGGCGCGCUGUAGGGUGUCCCGAUGAUGUCUUUGGGGGCGCACUGUGGGGCGUCCCCGUGAUCGCCGCGACCCCCUCGACAGCUCGCCCCUCUCUGCUUUAGCUUUGCGCUCGCGAACGCCUCGCCCUCUCCGCCCUCUCCUC